ACGUAAGGGAAGGCAUAAAGAGUGUUUUAUGGCAUUCUCUCUGAUACAACACAAACCCGCUGGAAUGGGAUCAUCAAUCUUUCAAAAAGUAUGUGUCCUACUGAUCUCCACUGUCUUCUUUGUUGAGUUAGUUUCAUUAUCAAAUCCUGUUUUUAUUUCAGCUUCUUCCCAAGAAGCUACGGCUCUUCUCCAGUGGAAAGAUAGCCUUCAAAACGAAAGUCAAUCUAACUUAUCUUCAUGGAUUUCACCUCCAAAUAGUCCCAACAAUUCUUCUCCCAAUAUAAACCAAACAUCAAAUCCAUGCAUGUGGUUUGGUAUUUUUUGCAAUCCUGGAGGAAGUGUCAUCAAACUGGAACUGAACAAUUCUGGAUUGGAAGGUACGCUUCACGGAUUUUCUUUUUCCACUUUCCCAAAUCUUUCAUAUGUUAAUCUCAGUGGCAACAAUCUCUUUGAUAGCAUUCCAUCUCAAAUUAGCUACCUAUCCAAACUCAUCUAUCUUGAUUUGUCCUCUAACAAGUUGUCAGGGAAAAUCCCGCCAGAAAUUGGCUUGUUAACUGAGCUUGAAGUUCUCAACCUUGGUGAUAAUCACUUAAAUGGCUCAAUUCUUGAAGAAAUAGGCCACCUAAAGUCUUUAUCCAAGCUUUCUCUUUUCUCAAACAGUUUGGAUGGUUUCAUUCCUGUUUCUUUAACUAAUUUGAGCAAACUAGAGUAUUUGCAUCUACACAACAAUGAACUCUUUGGUUUCAUUCCUCUAGAGAUAGGAAAUCUCUCCAAUUUGGUUGAGUUGUCCAUUCAUUCCAAUAUCCUGAUAGGUUCAAUCCCUCCAACGUUCGGGAACUUAAAAAGGCUAACCUCGUUGUUUUUGUACAAUAAUUCACUUUCUGGAUCCAUCCCUUCAGAAUUAGGGAAUAUGGGGUCCCUUGUUCGGUUAAGCCUCCAAACAAACCAUCUUAAUGGUUCAAUUCCCCCAUCAUUAGGAGAUCUGGGAAAUCUUACUCUUCUUUAUCUCUACUUUAAUAACCUUUCUGGCACCAUUCCUGAAGAGUUAGGAAACUUGAAGCGUAUCAAGAAUCUACAAUUGAGCAGGAACCAACUGCAUGGCUAUGUUCCAAAUUCAUUUGUUAAUCUGAGAAACUUGAACGUUCUAUACCUCCGUGACAACCAACUUUCAGGUGAAAUUCCUCAAGGAAUUGGAGAUUUCAUGAACUUGACUAUAUUACAAAUAGACACAAACCAAUUCACUGGCUUUCUACCUCAAAACAUUUGCCUUAGUGGCUCACUUCAGUAUCUUUCUGCAUCCAACAACCAUUUCACAGGUCGAGUCCCCAAAAGCUUGAAAAACUGCUCCAGCUUAGUCAGAGUCCGCUUAGAAGGAAAUCAACUCACUGGUGAUAUAUCUGAAGAUUUUGGAGUCUAUCCAACCUUGAACUACAUAGAUCUAAGCUACAAUAGAUUAUUUGGCAAAAUCUCAAGUAAUUGGGGACAGUGUCCACAAUUAGCCACCCUAAAAAUUGGUGGAAACAAUCUCACCGGUAGUAUAUUACUAGAGAUUGGAAAAUUGACUAAGGUACAUGUGCUUGAUCUUUCUGAAAAUCGCAUAGUUGGGGCUAUUUCGAAAGAAAUUGGAAAGUUGACUUCUCUAGAGAGAUUGAUGUUGAAUGGCAAUCAAUUUUCGGGUUCUAUACCAUUAGAACUUGGGUCAUUGACUGAUCUUGAAUACCUUGAUUUGUCCUCGAACAGAUUGAAGGAUUCAAUUCCAAGUAAUUUUGGAGAUUUAUUGAAAUUGAAUUACCUGAACUUAAGCCAUAACAAUUUUAACCAAACGCUUCCAGUUCCCCUCAUGAGCUUAUUUCAGAUCUCCGAAAUGGAUUUGAGUUUUAACUCUUUAAAUGGAGAGAUACCAUCUGAAAUUAGCAAAAUGCAGAGCUUGGAGAAACUCAAUCUCUCCCACAAUUAUUUUUCUAGUUUCAUUCCGACAGCCUUUGAAGAAAUGCGUGCCUUGUUAUACAUUGACAUAUCAUACAAUGAUUUUCAAGGUCCCAUCCCCAGCAACAAAGCCUUUCUAGAUGCUCCCCUAGAAGCAUUACAAGGGAAUAAGGGACUGUGUGGUAACGUUACAGGUUUGAAGCGUUGUAAUAACUCCACAAAGAAGAGCCACAAUCCCUAUUAUGGGAGCACUUUUAGUUCUAUUUGCUUUCUUUCGAGUCUUUAUUGCCUUUAAAAGAAGAAAGAAAGAUCCAGAAUCAGAACAAUCUGUCAUGCAUGAAGUAGAAUUUCUUUCAAUGACAACUGUCAAUGGAAGAACAAUGUAUCAAGAAAUCAUGAAGGCAACUAAAGGUUUUGAUGACUUAUAUUGUAUUGGGAAAGGAGGAUGUGGAAGUGUUUACAAGGCAAAGCUACCUUUUGGUGUUAUAUUUGCUGUGAAAAAACUCCACCAAGCACAUGAUGAUCGAAAAGGAUUGCAGAAAGAGUUCAAAAAUGAGAUAAGGGCAUUGACAGAAAUAAGACAUCGAAACAUUGUUAAACUUCAUGGCUUUUGUUCACAUCCAGAACAUCCAUUUUUGGUUUAUGAGUACUUUGAAAGGGGUAGCCUGGCAAAAAACUUGGAGAAUGAAGAUUCUGCCAAAGUACUGGAUUGGAAUAAACGGUUGAAUAUUGUUAAAGGUGUAGCUUAUGCUUUAUCUUACAUGCAUCAUGAUUGUGUGGUGCCAAUUAUUCAUCGUGAUAUAUCAAGUCGCAACAUCUUGCUAGAUUCUCAAUACGAUGCUCAUGUUUCGGACUUUGGCACUGCUAAACUACUUACGAAGUUAGACACAUCCAAUUGGUCUUCCCUUGUAGGCACCUAUGGAUAUGUAGCACCAGGUUCUUUAUUCUUUUUUCUCCUAAUUUUAGAUACGCAUAUAUAUAGAAGGAAUGCAUGUUUUGAUUUCUCUUUUCUUUUCUUGGCAGAGCUUGCUUAUACAAUAAAGGUAACUGAGAAAUGUGAUGUAUAUAGCUUUGGGGUAUUGGCAUUAGAAGUCCUAAUGGGAAAGCACCCAGGCGCCUUCCAUUUCCCCAACAUGUACAUGAGGAGGAACUUAAUACGGUUGUGAAGCUUGCAAGAAAGUGCUUAGAUUGCCAGCCACAAUCCAGGCCAACUAUGCACUUCAUAUCCAAUGUCUUAAAGGCUCAAAUUGCCAUUUCCUAGAACCAUCAAUCUUCAUAUGAAGUUGCAGAAAUUAGUAUCUGCAUAUAAUUUUAAUCUGUAGUUUUGAAAUAUCAAGUCAAUUAUUGUUUAGGGUUUAUAAGACGAUGCUACUUUAUAGCAAUUCAUAAGUUGUAUUACAAGUGAUUCCUUGCAAAGAUAGAAAGGAAAGGGUUUUGCUACCCACACACUAAA